UAUUCCCAAACAACUCGACUCUUCGAAAGUAUCUUACAAUGAGAAUAGAUUUUACGGGGCUGUCACCCUCUAAGGCGCUGUGUUCCAACAGACUUUAAUCCGCUCUCAAGAUACAAUCUACAAAUUACAACUCGACCUGGUGGCCGAUUUCAAAUUUGAGCUUUUGCCGCUUCACUCGCCGUUACUAAGGCAAUCCCUGUUGGUUUCUUUUCCUCCGCGCUUAUUGAUAUGC
rnacentral:rRNA from 2 species